CCUACGGGAGGCAGCAGUGGGGAAUAUUGGACAAUGGGCGCAAGCCUGAUCCAGCCAUGCCGCGUGUGUGAUGAAGGCCUUAGGGUUGUAAAGCACUUUCGCCGAUGAAGAUAAUGACUGUAGUCGGAGAAGAAGCCCCGGCUAACUUCGUGCCAGCAGCCGCGGUAAUACGAAGGGGGCUAGCGUUGUUCGGAAUUACUGGGCGUAAAGCGUACGUAGGCGGAUUGUUAAGUGAGGGGUGAAAUCCCGAGGCUCAACCUCGGAACUGCCUUUCAUACUGGCAAUCUUGAGUCCGGGAGAGGUGAGUGGAACUCCUAGUGUAGAGGUGAAAUUCGUAGAUAUUAGGAAGAACACCAGUGGCGAAGGCGGCUCACUGGCCCGGAACUGACGCUGAGGUACGAAAGCGUGGGGAGCAAACAGGAUUAGAUACCCUGGUAGUCCACGCCGUAAACGAUGGAUGCUAGCCGUCGGGGAGCUUGCUCUUCGGUGGCGCAGCUACGCAUAAGUACACUCCGCCGUCGGGGUAGGUACGGUCGCGAAGAAUUAAACUACAAAUAGAAGUUAGACGGCGUGAGACGUGCCGACGGACGACGACGAGGGAGGUAGG
rnacentral:rRNA from 1 species